rnacentral:rRNA from 1 species
GGACCCGCACAAGUAGUGGAGCAUGUGGUUUAAUUCGAAGAUACGCGCAGAACCUUACCAACACUUGACAUGUUCGUCGCGACUCUAAGAGAUUAGAGUUUUCGGUUCGGCCGGACGAAACACAGGUGCUGCAUGGCUGUCGUCAGCUCGUGUCGUGAGAUGUUGGGUUAAGUCCCGCAACGAGCGCAACCCUCACUUUUAGUUGCCAUCAUUAAGUUGGGCACUCUGAAAGAACUGCCAGUGAUAAGCUGGAGGAAGGUGGGGAUGACGUCAAGUCCUCAUGGCCCUUACGUGUUGGGCUACACACGUGCUACAAUGGCCGGUACAGAGAGCAGCCACCACGCGAGUGGGAG